CCACACUGCAGGAGGCAGCAGUGUGGAUCCCAGGCACCUGGGAUUGGAAGGAGGAUGCCCAGGCAGGCCUGGAGAGCUCAGGGGAGGCACGCUGGAGCACGUGGGGCUCCAGUGGGGUUCUGGAGGGAGCAGGAGGACCAUGGAUGUCUGUUUUGGAGCCUACAUUACAAUUCGUGCCAUCUCUAACAAGUCCUAUAGGUCAGGCUCAUAGAUGAGGAAGCAGAGGCACAGAGAGGUAAAGUAAGUUUCUCAAGGUCACACAGUAAAUGGCCGAGCUGAGAUGUGAACCUGGGAAAUCCACCCGCAGAGCCCUCACUGUUAUACCAGAAGCAAGACUCCUAGGGGAAGGGAUUUUGGACCUUAAACUCCAAAGACAAGGACGGCAAACCUGGGUAGAAGCUUUUAGGACAGCCAUAGGAUGACCUGAACCCAGAUCCUGCCACGGGAAAUCCGAUCAGCAGACGUUUGCGAUUUUUCACAUUUUGCCUGCCACCUGUUUCCAGCCAUCCUGGCAGCGCCCUCGCGCCCCCACAGCUUUCGGUCUAUUUUCCGGAGCGUCACUCCCAGCAGGCCUCUGAGGUUCCUGGCGCGGCACCAGGGCCCUGCCCAUAGUCCCUGGAGGGUCCUUCUGGAAGCGGCACACCAGGCUCUUCAGCUCGAGUCCCGCCUGUGGACCCUCUUCUCCUCCCGUGGGGCACCUGCGGUUGCAGCAGCCAGAGAGGCAUUUAAUUCCCAGCUCGGCCCCACAGACUGUUGCUAAGUAGCUGGUGCACGCGGAGAGGUGUGGAAGAAAACCCUCAGGGUGACAAAAACAAACCCUCGUGUGCCCAGAGCUGCGUGCACG